rnacentral:lncRNA from 1 species
CUUUAAAUGUCUCUCCCCAACCCCCUCUCGCUAGCUCUCUCUCUCUCUCACGCACACAAAGGCCCACAAACUUGAGUUUUACCUACUGUUUGUGAAUUCUUGUUUCUUUGUAAAAACUCAGUUAAUUAAUCUGCAUAUCAGUUUCAGUUUUAUGCAGGCUGGGCUUUCUUGAAUUCACAGAUUACAGUUGACCUGUCAGGGAAGCCCAAGGAGGUUAUGGUGGGGCCUAAGCAUGGUAAACAAGAAUCUUUUCUCAUAUCAAAACAGCUCAAUAGGAUUUACUGGGUAUCAAUAAUAACAAGUUUUGAUAAAUUAUAUAUAUUUACAUGUAUGUAUUUAUCUGUGUAAGAG